rnacentral:rRNA from 1 species
UACGUAGGGGGCGAGCGUUGUCCGGAGUUACUGGGCGUAAAGCGCACGCAGGCGGUCUGCUAAGUUUGGAGUGACAGUUGGUGGCUUAACUGCCAAAGUGCUUCGAAAACUGACAGACUUGAGGGCUUCAGAGGGACACGGAAUUCCGGGUGGAGUGGUGAAAUGCGUAGAGAUCCGGAGGAACACCAAAGGCUAAGGCAGUGUCCUGGGGAGUACCUGACGCUCAGGUGCGAAAGCCAGGGGAGCGAACGGG